GUACGUGUCUACGUAUUCGUGUCGUCAGUGGACAGUGACAUAUAUUGAAGACCACGGGAGUUAGGAAGCUAGCAGUGGGUGUAAGUGACGAGGCGUUGAGCAGCUCGUCACCACCAUUACCACCACCACCGCAGCUGCCAGUCCCCGCUGCUGGCGGAGCGAGAGUCACCACUACAAGCAGCGUUGUGAGAACGAGACCCUCCCUCACACGCACUACAGGGCUGAUGAUUCUCAACACCCUCAACACUGAUAACGUGGACAGCACCUUUAAAACUGCUACAUUUAGCCACCUCGGACUGGAAGUGUUGCCACGGUGACGGUGGUGGUGGGCAUGAUACAGAUGCGGGAGCUGGAGUUUGUGCCCGAUAGAGACAUGCAGCUGGACAAAUUCUGUUGGUCAUUGGUCAGACUGGAGUUUACAUGUGUACCUCCUUCACCAUCAUUGGUGGACACUUCACCAUGAGUGAUGCUUGAGCUGUCACGGUGCUGCUGCUGCUGUCUGCCAUCAUCACCCUGACACAGACCACCCUGCAGACCACCUUCAUCCUGGGUGCCACACGUCACUGCUGCUACAACUCAGAGCAACUGGAGCGCAAGCCAGGAAGGGAGAUGGUUACCUUCUUGUUGAUGUGCAAUCUUGCUACGUGGGCGAUCAACAUUUAAAAAUAGCAAUGUGGUGCUUCCUUAAUGCAAAUAGUCUUGGCCCAAAAAACUUGUGAUGUCAAACACUAACUUCUCUUAAAUCUUACUAAAAUGUAUGCGCAUCACUUUCUGAUUUCAUCCCAGUGGCACACAAACCAAAAUACCUGAGUAUGGAGAUGGCUGGACUACCUCCUUUGGCCACCCCUGUUAUAUCUUAAUUUCCCACUGUCUUUCCUGUGUACUGGUUAAGCUACUCACUGCUGAAGUCCCUGGAAACUAGGUAGAAUAAUUUAGAAUGACAUGGUUAAGUUAAUGCUGAUAAAAUCUCAUUUGUAAUAUUCAGGAAGAUUGAAUUAUUCUUCCUCUGUUGAAGCAAAUGAUAUAACGUUGACUAGAAGCUUUCACAAUAUUUAUAAGCUUUCUUGUAUCAGAGAUCUUUUGAAAAUCCAACCAUUAAUUUGUAAAUACUUGUAUAGUGUAGCUGGCAUGAGGGUUGCAGUCUUCAUUAUUUACUAGUGGACAAGCAACAAGUGAUGGUGUGACUCUGAGGCACUGUAGUAGGGAUGUUAUGGUUUAAGUGUAGGAAGUUGCAAAUGCUCACCUAACAAUUGCACCUUAGUAGAAAAACACAAACAGGAAGUUUAUGCAAGUUUUUAUCCUUAUAUAAAAUGUUGUAUUGCAUCAAACCUCCAUACAUUACUGUCUCUAUCCAGUAUGAGACCGGUGUUCAGGAAGCACAAGCAUGUGCUGAAUAACAAGAAGCCGGCAUUGGUGAAGGUGACAACAUUUCAUCUAUUUAUACAUACUUUUUAUUAUUAAAGCUUAUCUUAUAAUUAUUUCUGAAGAGAUUGACUAAUUUUUGUAGUAUUUAUGACUUAGAACUAUGAUAAAGCUAUGAAUUGAUAUAAUUCCUGAUUUG